rnacentral:rRNA from 1 species
UACGAAGGGGGCUAGCGUUGCUCGGAAUCACUGGGCGUAAAGGGUGCGUAGGCGGGUUUUUAAGUCAGAGGUGAAAUCCUGGAGCUCAACUCCAGAACUGCCUUUGAUACUGAAAGUCUUGAGUAUGGGAGAGGUGAGUGAACUGCGAGUGUAGAGGUGAAAUUCGUAGAUAUUCGCAAGAACACCAGUGGCGAAGGCGGCUAUCUGGACAGUGACUGACGCUGAGACGCGAAAGCGUGGGGAGCAAACAGG